GUUGUAUAGUCAAGUAAUUAAGUGCAUGUGGUGGAUGCCUUGGCAGUCAGAGGCGAUGAAAGACGUGAUAGCCUGCGAAAAGCUCCGGGGAGGCGGCAAAUAUCCUUUGAUCCGGAGAUGUCUGAAUGGGGGAACCCACCUACUUUAAGGUAGGUAUUGCAACAUGAAUACAUAGUGUUGCAAGGCGAACGAGGGGAAGUGAAACAUCUCAGUACCCUUAGGAAAAGAAAUCAAUUGAGAUUCCCUCAGUAGCGGCGAGCGAACGGGGAUCAGCCCAUUAAGUUAUGUGUGUUUUAGUGGAACGCUCUGGGAAGUGCGAACGUAGAGGGUGAUAUUCCCGUACACGAAAGGGCACACAUAAUGAUGACGAGUAGGGCGAGGCACGUGAAACCUUGUCUGAAUAUGGGGGGACCAUCCUCCAAGGCUAAAUACUCCUGACUGACCGAUAGUGAACCAGUACCGUGAGGGAAAGGCGAAAAGAACCCCUGUGAGGGGAGUGAAAUAGAUCCUGAAACCGCAUGCAUACAAGCAGUGGGAGCACCUUCGUGGUGUGACUGCGUACCUUUUGUAUAAUGGGUCAGCGACUUAUAUUCAGUAGCGAGGUUAACCGUAUAGGGGAGCCGUAGAGAAAUCGAGUCUUAAUAGGGCGUUUAGUUGCUGGGUAUAGACCCGAAACCAGGCGAUCUAUCCAUGAGCAGGUUGAAGGUUGGGUAACACUAACUGGAGGACCGAACCCACUGUCGUUGAAAAGCCAGGGGAUGACUUGUGGAUAGGGGUGAAAGGCUAAUCAAGCCUGGUGAUAGCUGGUUCUCCCCGAAAGCUAUUUAGGUAGCGCCUCGGACGAAUACCAUAGGGGGUAGAGCACUGUUUCGGCUAGGGGGUCAUCCCGACUUACCAAACCGAUGCAAACUCCGAAUACCUAUGAGUACUAUCCGGGAGACAGACUGCGGGUGCUAACGUCCGUAGUCAAGAGGAAAACAAUCCAGACCGCCAGCUAAGGCCCCAAAAUCAUAGUUAAGUGGGAAACGAUGUGGGAAGGCAUAGACAGCUAGGAGGUUGGCUUANNNNNNNNNNNNNGAAGCAGCCACCCUUUAAAGAAAGCGUAAUAGCUCACUAGUCGAGUCGGCCUGCGCGGAAGAUGUAACGGGGCUAAAACUAUGUGCCGAAGCUGCGGAUUUGACAUUAGUCAAGUGGUAGGGGAGCGUUCUGUAAGCCGAUGAAGGUGUAUUGAGAAGUNNNNNNNNNNNNNNNNNNNNNNNNNNNNNNNAUGCUGGAGGUAUCAGAAGUGCGAAUGCUGACGUGAGUAACGACAAAACGGGUGAAAAACCCGUUCGCCGAAAGACCAAGGGUUCCAGUCCAACGUUAAUCGGGGCUGGGUGAGUCGACCCCUAAGGCGAGGCCGAAAGGCGUAGUCGAUGGGAAAAUGGUUAAUAUUCCAUUACUUCUGUGUAAUGCGAUGAGAGGACGGAGAAGGCUAAAUCAGCCUGGCGUUGGUUGUCCAGGUGAAAGGAUGUAGGCAUGUAUCUUAGGCAAAUCCGGGGUACUCUAUGCUGAGAUCUGAUAGCAAGCUGUACUUGUACAGCGAAGUGGUUGAUGCCAUGCUUCCAGGAAAAGUCUCUAAGCUUCAGUUACACAGGAAUCGUACCCGAAACCGACACAGGUGGUCAGGUCGAGUAGACCAAGGCGCUUGAGAGAACUCUGCUGAAGGAACUAGGCAAAAUGGUACCGUAACUUCGGGAGAAGGUACGCUGUUGUUGGUGAUGGAACUCGCUUCCUGAGCUGACGACAGCCGCAGAAACCAGGCCGCUGCAACUGUUUAUUAAAAACAUAGCACUCUGCAAACACGAAAGUGGACGUAUAGGGUGUGAUGCCUGCCCGGUGCUGGAAGGUUAAUUGAUGGGGUUAGCGUAAGCGAAGCUCUUGAUCGAAGCCCCAGUAAACGGCGGCCGUAACUAUAACGGUCCUAAGGUAGCGAAAUUCCUUGUCGGGUAAGUUCCGACCUGCACGAAUGGCAUAAUGAUGGCGGCGCUGUCUCCAGCAGAGGCUCAGUGAAAUCGAAAUCGCUGUGAAGAUGCAGUGUACCCGCGGCUAGACGGAAAGACCCCGUGAACCUUUACUGCAGCUUGACACUGAACUUUGACCUUACUUGUGUAGGAUAGGUGGGAGGCUUUGAAGCUGGAACGCUAGUUCCAGUGGAGCCGUCCUUGAAAUACCACCCUGGUAAUGUUGAGGUUCUAACUCUGUCCCGUGAUCCGGGACGAGGACCGUGUCUGGUGGGUAGUUUGACUGGGGCGGUCUCCUCCUAAAGAGUAACGGAGGAGUACGAAGGUGCGCUCAGCGUGGUCGGAAAUCACGCGUAGAGUAUAAAGGCAAAAGCGCGCUUAACUGCGAGACCCACAAGUCGAGCAGGUACGAAAGUAGGUCUUAGUGAUCCGGUGGUUCUGUAUGGAAGGGCCAUCGCUCAACGGAUAAAAGGUACUCUGGGGAUAACAGGCUGAUACCGCCCAAGAGUUCAUAUCGACGGCGGUGUUUGGCACCUCGAUGUCGGCUCAUCUCAUCCUGGGGCUGAAGCAGGUCCCAAGGGUAUGGCUGUUCGCCAUUUAAAGAGGUACGCGAGCUGGGUUUAGAACGUCGUGAGACAGUUCGGUCCCUAUCUACCGUGGGCGCUGGAAAUUUGAGAGGAUCUGCUCCUAGUACGAGAGGACCAGAGUGGACGAACCUCUGGUGUACCGGUUGUGACGCCAGUCGCAUCGCCGGGUAGCUAUGUUCGGAAGGGAUAACCGCUGAAAGCAUCUAAGCGGGAAGCCUACCUCAAGAUAAGAUUUCCCUAGGACUUUAUGUCCUCUAAAGAGCCGUUCGAGACUAGGACGUUGAUAGGUUGGAUGUGGAAGCAUAGUGAUAUGUGAAGCUGACCAAUACUAAUUGCUCGUGAGGCUUGACUAUACAACACCCAAGCAGUUG
rnacentral:rRNA from 1 species